rnacentral:rRNA from 1 species
AUGGAGAGUUUGAUCCUGGCUCAGGGCGAACGCUGGCGGCGUGCCUUAGACAUGCAAGUCGAGCGGUAGGCGUCCCUUCGGGGGCGCCGAGAGCGGCGAACGGCGGAGUAACACGUGGGUAACCUGCCCCGAAGACUGGGAUAACCCGGGGAAACUCGGGCUAAUACCGGAUGUGGAUGCUUCGGCUUUGGCUGAAGCAUCUAAAGGCGCAAGCCGCUUCGGGAUGGGCCCGCGGCCUAUCAGGUAGUUGGUGAGGUAAUGGCUCACCAAGCCUGCGACGGGUAGCCGGUCUGAGAGGAUGAUCGGCCCGAGGGGCACUGAGACACGGGCCCCACUCCUACGGGAGGCAGCAGUCGGGAAUCUUGGGCAAUGGGCGCAAGCCUGACCCAGCGACGCCGCGUGGAGGACGAAGCCCUUCGGGGUGUAAACUCCUUUUAGUGGGGACGAACGCAGACGGUACCCACAGAAAAAGCCCCGGCUAACUACGUGCCAGCAGCCGCGGUAAUACGUAGGGGGCGAGCGUUGCCCGAAUUUACUGGGCGUAAAGCGCACGUAGGCGGCUCCGUAAGUCUGGUGUGAAAUCUCACGGCUCAACCGGGAGGCUGCACCGGAUACUGCGGAGCUCGAGGGCGGGAGAGGAGAUUGGAAUUCCCGGUGUAGCGGUGAAAUGCAUUGAUAUCGGGAGGAACACCAGUGGCGAAGGCGGAUCUCUGGCCCGCUUCUGACGCUGAGGUGCGAAAGCUG